CGGUGCUUAGCGGCGGACGGGUGAGUAACACGUAGGUAACCUGCCUAUAAGACUGGGAUAACUAUCGGAAACGAUAGCUAAGACCGGAUAACUGGUUUUCUCGCAUGAGAGAAUCAUGAAACACGGAGCAAUCUGUGGCUUAUAGAUGGGCCUGCGGCGCAUUAGCUAGUUGGUAGGGUAACGGCCUACCAAGGCGACGAUGCGUAGCCGACCUGAGAGGGUGAACGGCCACACUGGGACUGAGACACGGCCCAGACUCCUACGGGAGGCAGCAGUAGGGAAUCUUCCGCAAUGGACGCAAGUCUGACGGAGCAACGCCGCGUGAGUGAUGAAGGUUUUCGGAUCGUAAAGCUCUGUUGCCCUAGACGAACAGCAAGGUGAGUAACUGCGCUUUGUGUGACGGUAUAGGAGAAGAAAGCCCCGGCUAACUACGUGCCAGCAGCCGCGGUAAUACGUAGGGGGCAAGCGUUGUCCGGAAUUAUUGGGCGUAAAGCGCGCGCAGGCGGUUAAUUAAGUUGGGUGUUUAAGCCCGGGGCUCAACCCCGGUUCGCAUCCAAAACUGGUUGACUUGAGUGUAGGAGAGGAAAGUGGAAUUCCACGUGUAGCGGUGAAAUGCGUAGAGAUGUGGAGGAACACCAGUGGCGAAGGCGACUUUCUGGCCUA
rnacentral:rRNA from 1 species